GGAAGGGCUGUAGCUCAGUGGUAGAGCAGCUGCUUUGUGUGCACAUGACCCUGGGUUCAAUCCCAGCCAUCUCCA